UGGGGGAUAUUGCACAAUGGGGGAAACCCUGAUGCAGCGACGCCGCGUGGGUGAAGACGGCCUUCGGGUUGUAAAGCCCUGUCUUCGGGGACGAUAAUGACGGUACCCGAGGAGGAAGCCACGGCUAACUACGUGCCAGCAGCCGCGGUAAUACGUAGGUGGCGAGCGUUGUCCGGAAUUACUGGGUGUAAAGGGAGCGUAGGCGGGGAUUUAAGUUAGAUGUGAAAUACCGCAGCUUAACUGCGGGGCUGCAUCUAAAACUGGAUUUCUUGAGUGAAGUAGAGGCAGGCGGAAUUCCUAGUGUAGCGGUGAAAUGCGUAGAUAUUAGGAGGAACACCAGUGGCGAAGGCGGCCUGCUGGGCUUUAACUGACGCUGAGGCUCGAAAGCGUGGGGAGCAAACA
rnacentral:rRNA from 1 species